rnacentral:rRNA from 1 species
GACGAACGCUGGCGGCGUACCUAAUACAUGCAAGUUGAGCGAUGAAGAUUGGUGCUUGCACCAAUUUGAAGAGCAGCGAACGGGUGAGUAACGCGUGGGGAAUCUGCCUUUGAGCGGGGGACAACAUUUGGAAACGAAUGCUAAUACCGCAUAACAACUUUAAACAUAAGUUUUAAGUUUGAAAGAUGCAAUUGCAUCACUCAAAGAUGAUCCCGCGUUGUAUUAGCUAGUUGGUGAGGUAAAGGCUCACCAAGGCGAUGAUACAUAGCCGACCUGAGAGGGUGAUCGGCCACAUUGGGACUGAGACACGGCCCAAACUCCUACGGGAGGCAGCAGUAGGGAAUCUUCGGCAAUAGACGAAAGUCUGACCGAGCAACGCCGCGUGAGUGAAGAAGGUUUUCGGAUCGUAAAACUCUGUUGGUAGAGAAGAACGUUGGUGAGAGUGGAAAGCUCAUCAAGUGACGGUAACUACCCAGAAAGGGACGGCUAACUACGUG